GCAGUAUAUAUUCAUCCGUGGGAGGUCAGAACCAACGUUACUGUAUCACUGAGACUUUUGUUGGUUGUUUUUUGUGCUUGCACGAAGAUUUGACAUUUUCAGCAUGAAACAGUCUAAACUGUCUAUUGGAAAGCGCCUUGCAAAACCGAUUCUUUUUGGGACACUGCUCGUAGGUUUGGCCACAGCGUUUCUGAAUAGGCAUUUGUUCAUGGAGGACCUGGCAGAUCUCAGGGAGCAGGAACGAUCCCGCAAUGAGGCCAAAAGGCUGGAGGUGCUGGAGAGGAGGAGGAAACUAAUGGAUCAAAUUAUUGAGAAGAAUAGUGCAGGGGACAGGUGAGAUGACUGAAUGGAAACCUGGAGGAAACCAACACUGAAGAAAACAUGGGACAUUUUUUGCCAAUAAGGAUUUGUGGAGUGUUAUAAAUAUUUUUCCUUGAUUGUUCUGAUAUUGCUGUAAUAGGACAGAAGUUGCAUGGAAAGUCCAUGAAUGAUGUAGUAAGCAAUGAUUUGAAUGGAUUGCCUUGAUCAUAUUUAGCUGUAACAGCUGGAUUUGCAAGAGGAUUAGAAUGGUAAAUAUUAAUGGGCCAAACAUAUGUAUGUGCCUCAUUCCUGCCACUGACAAAAAGCUACUUGGAUUUUAUUGAAAACAUAUAUAAAAAAUACAUAUUUUAUGUAUAAGCCAAACAAAUUAUAAAUAUUACAAAUGAUCUUCACCAGUUAAAAGCCUAAAAUAUAAAUCUGCUGAGUUUUAAAAUAUUUUGUGUACCAUUCAAACCCUUUAUUAAUACAUUUAUGAAAUUAUGAAUAAAAAAUUGUUACACUGUGCAGUUGGCAUCAGUGUUGUUAUUGUUAAUUGAAAAUUUGAAAUGUUGACAAUUUAAAUACUAAAAAUGAAAUGAAAUUGCUUUUAAAUAAAUUAAAGCCAAAUAGUAGUAAGAAGAAGCUAAUCAAAAUAUUAUAAAAUACUAAAACUUAAAAUUAAAAAGGAAACUGAAUCUAUAAAAAUAUUUUGAAAUAUUAAUAAAUACUAAAAAUACACUGGCUGGCAUAAAAGCCUUUUUCUGAAGUCCUUCUAAUUGUAAGAUUUUUCAGUGGUAACACCAUAGAGUUAACAUUUUUGUGUUUGAUACAAUAACACAGACUCGUGAGAACACUACCAUUUAUUUGAGCACGCGAAAGUAACAAAAAGUGCUUUUGGAACACAUUGCACUAACCAAAAUUAAUAAGAUUUGUAAUUCACAGCAAGGAGAAAAAUAAGGUAUGGAUAUUCCAACAAAUACUAUAAGGCUGGUAAACCAGCCUGAGACUCAGUAGCAAAUGUGUCAUACAGUAUUACUACAGCAGUUGAUUGUCAAUAUAACCAAACCAGUGUUUAAAAUGCAAACCUGCUGGAGCCCAAACAAACCUUUCAUGUGCAACUCCAAAUACGUUUCACACUUGGCCACAUUUCAGGGGAAGUUUACCCAUCUGAGGCACACACUAGCACUUACCCAAAUAAAAUGACCUUGUGAACAAAUACAAAAAAUUGGGGAUAAAAAUGGAAACCAGUUUCCAUGACAUAUAAGUGCACAUGUAAGUCUAGAUAGUCAAAUCUCCUCCCUUCAUCUUCUUUUUUCCUUCAAUAUACCAUAUAUCAUAUAGACAAUAUCGGGUCUACCUUCUCAUACACCAACACUGCAUGUGUUGCACAACAUAUAUUAAUAACAUAAAUUCCCUUUGUUUUUAGCUUUCACAUACAUUGCCAUCCAACACUAUAUCAAUAAAUACAUUUUUGGACUGUGGUAAAAGACAAAACAUUUGCAAAGAACAGAGAAAACUAAAUUAAAUAU